rnacentral:rRNA from 1 species
UACGGGGGGGGCAAGCGUUGUUCGGAAUUACUGGGCGUAAAGGGCUCGUAGGUGGCCAACUAAGUCGGACGUGAAAUCCCUCAGCUUAACUGGGGAACUGCGUUCGAUACUGGAUGGCUCGAGUUUGGGAGAGGGAUGCGGAAUUCCAGGUGUAGCGGUGAAAUGCGUAGAUAUCAAGAGGAACGCCGGAGGUGAAGACGACUCACUGGGCCUGUCCUGACGCUGAGGUGCGAAAGCUAGGGGAGCAAACGGG